CACAGAAGACAAAAUUGGAUCUGAGGUCAGUUGCCCAGCACUGUCAUACUGGACCUCCUGCUGAACCUCCACCGUCACUACUGUCAUUUUGCAUCUUCUGCACUCUGCAAACUCCUAUAAAAGCACCAGACAACCUCCUCCUCCUCUGAACCAGCUGCGACACUCUAUGGAUCUACUAUUUCCAUCACCCAAGGCUUUGCAAAUCCCUGCUCUGGUCGAAUCACUGAAAGCAUCCCUGACUACUUCCCUACCUUCUUAUACCCAAAGGCUGUAGUCACUUCUUCAGCUUCCCUACGACCACUAUCCCUUGGGUGAACUCUCCUCAUCCAUCGAAUAGACCCCACACUGCCCUUCUCCCCU
rnacentral:lncRNA from 1 species